rnacentral:rRNA from 1 species
UGGGGAAUAUUGCACAAUGGAGGGAACUCUGAUGCAGCGACGCCGCGUGAGUGAUGAAGGAAUUCGUUUCGUAAAACUCUGUUCUAUGGGCAGAAAAGGACUGUACCAUAGGAGAAAGCUCCGGCUAAAUACGUGCCAGCAGCCGCGGUAAUACGUAUGGAGCGAGCGUUGUCCGGAAUUAUUGGGCGUAAAGGGUGCGCAGGCGGCUUUACAAGUUGGAUGUGAAAUAUUGUGGCUCAACCACAAACGUGCAUCCAAAACUGCAAAGCUUGAGUUAAGGAGAGGUAAGUGGAAUUCCUGGUGUAGCGGUGGAAUGCGUAGAUAUCAGGAGGAAUACCGGUGGCGAAGGCGGCUUACUGGACUUAAACUGACGCUCAGGCACGAAAGCGUGGGGAGCAAACAGG